rnacentral:rRNA from 1 species
GACAGAGGGUGCAAACGUUGUUCGGAAUUACUGGGCGUAAAGCGCGUGUAGGCUGCUUGGAAAGUCGGAUGUGAAAGCCCUGGGCUCAACCCAGGAAGUGCAUUCGAAACUUCCGAGCUCGAGUUCUGGAGAGGAUAGCGGAAUUCUCGGUGUAGAGGUGAAAUUCGUAGAUAUCGAGAGGAACACCGGUGGCGAAGGCGGCUAUCUAGACAGAAACUGACGCUGAGACGCGAAAGCGUGGGGAGCAAACAGG